AUAUGUGUAGAUCCUAUACAUGUUGUCAUCGUCUGGGGAAGAAGCAAGCCUGCCCACCUUAGUCCAUUGCACAACACCAAGAGGAGGAACCACAAUUUCCAAACAUUAACAACAGGACUCACUCUCCCUCCCUCUCUCCCCCAAAUCCUAGGCAAACCUCCUCGUAACUUCGCAGGGAGACCGCCACCCACUCGGGAGCAGGUCGGAGGUUCCCCCCCGUUGGCCCAGCGGCUCCUUCCCCAAGUGGGAUCGCUGGAGCCCGGAAGGCGGUAACGGUGCUGCUUGCACACACAGCCACACCCUGUCGAUAACUCAAGGUGACAAACAUCCAAACAUCAUCUUCCUUAUAUUUUCUCCAUAACAACAAUCCUGUAAGGUGGCCCAGCUUUAAUGGCUAACAUGGGACAAGAGCUUCAGAUUCUGAAAAUCAAAUCCUUCCUCAUUAAUUGACCCUACAUCUUUAUGCUUCCAGUUCUGAAGAGCAUCUAUGGAAGGCUCACUUGUUUGAAUAUUAUGGGCGACCCAGCAGUGUUCCUUUAACACCUAGAUGAUGGAGCCAAGUCAAACAUGGUGGCUUUCUGGCCACAGAAUAACAAAUUAAAAGAAUUGAACGUUGGUAUUGGAGAAAAUUCCUGAGAAUAUGGAGGACAGCCAAUUAAAACAAACAAAUGGAAUAUCAAACAAAUCAGUCUAGAGCUCGAAGCACAAAUGACCAAGCUCAAAUUAUCUUACUUUGGAUACACUAUGCUUAGACCUAGCUCUCUAGAGAAGGUUAUAAUCCUGGCAAAAGGGAAAGAAAAGAGAAGAAGGGAUGCCCAGCAGCAAGGUAGAUGCAGUCAGUUACAGUGGUGAUGGAUGCACUGUUGAGAGACUUGAAUGACGUGGUUAGAAACAGAUUGUCAUGGAGAAAUCUAUGUAAAGUCAACCCCAACUUGAUGGCACCUCAUCAAUCAAUCCGAUUAGAAGUGUGCAAGUGAGGGCCAGCCUACACCACAGCAUGCCAAGUUAAAAAUGGUACUCCUUAAAUAAAAGCAAGUGUUAUGCCCCAAUUCCCACCAUGUUGUGGAAAAUUAAAAUAAGGAGCUGUUUUUGUCUCUCCUUCUGCCCAUCGUAAUACUGAAAUCUGGCAUCAACUCGUGGAGCUCAAUGGAAUGAUGAUUCAAUACAGUAAAAGGAAUGUGCUUCAAAUCACAUGUAAAUAAACUUUGGAAUUCACUACCCUAGGAUAAUGAUGUCCACCAACUUGGAUAGCUUUAAAAUUAGAUUAGAGAAAUAAGAAAGAUACAGGGUAUAAAGUGCAUCCAGUUAUUAAAGGUAAAGGUUUCCAUCGUGCAUAUGUGCUAGUUGUUCCCGACUCUAGGGGGCAGUGUCCAUC